rnacentral:rRNA from 1 species
AGUGAACGCUGGCGGUAGGCCUAACACAUGCAAGUCGAACGGCAGCACAGUAAGAGCUUGCUCUUACGGGUGGCGAGUGGCGGACGGGUGAGGAAUACAUCGGAAUCUACUUUUUCGUGGGGGAUAACGUAGGGAAACUUACGCUAAUACCGCAUACGACCUACGGGUGAAAGCAGGGGAUCUUCGGACCUUUCGCGAUUGAAUGAGCCGAUGUCGGAUUAGCUAGUUGGCGGGGUAAAGGCCCACCAAGGCGACGAUCCGUAGCUGGUCUGAGAGGAUGAUCAGCCACACUGGAACUGAGACACGGUCCAGACUCCUCCGGGAGGCAGCAGUGGGGAAUAUUGGACAAUGGGCGCAAGCCUGAUCCAGCCAUACCGCGUGGGUGAAGAAGGCCUUCGGGUUGUAAAGCCCUUUUGUUGGGAAAGAAAAGCAGCAGGUUAAUACCCCGCUGUUCUGACGGUACCCAAAGAAUAAGCACCGGCUAACUUCGUG